ACGUGUGUUCCUUCGAACCCGAGUUUUGUUCGUCUAUAAAUAGCACCUUCUCUUCUCCUUCUUCCUCACUUCCAUCUUUUUAGCUUCACUAUCUCUCUAUAAUCGGUUUUAUCUUUCUCUAAGUCACAACCCAAAAAAACAAAGUAGAGAAGAAUCUGUAAAGCUCAGGAGGGAUAGCGCCAUGAUGAUCACAUUCGUUAUCUAUUUUUUGGCGCUAUCCAUCCUGAGUUUCAUUGGCUCUUCUUACUACAAUGAAAAAGGCCGAGGCA
rnacentral:precursor_RNA from 1 species